rnacentral:snRNA from 1 species
AUACUUACCUGUCAGGGGAGAUACCAUAAUCAUGAAGGUGGUUGUUCCCAGGGCGAGGCUUAUCCUUUGCAUUCUGGAUGUGCUGAUUCUGCAAUUUCCCCAAAUGUCAGAAACUUGACUGCAUAAUUUGUGGUAGUGGAGGACUGUGUUUAUGCUGUCCCCCA